AGCAGCCGCGGUAAUUCCAGCUCCAAUAGCGUAUAUUAAAGUUGUUGCAGUUAAAAAGCUCGUAGUUGAACUUCGGGGUUUACCCAUUGGUCAGGCUUAAUUGUCUGCACUGGUGAGAUGGAUCUCUACCUUCUGAGGAACUUUCAUGCCAUUUAUUUGGUGUGAUGGGAAAUCAGGACUGUUACUUUGAAAAAUUAGAGUGUUUAAAGCAGACUAUCGUCUGAAUACAUUAGCAUGGAAUAAUGAAAUAGGACGGACUGAUUCUAUUUCGUUGGUUCUAGGAUCACCGUAAUGAUUAAUAGGGAUAGUUGGGGGCAUUAGUAUUCAAUUGUCAGAGGUGAAAUUCUUGGAUUUAUGAAGACUAACUACUGCGAAAGCAUUUGCCAAGGAUGUUUUCAUUAAUCAAAGAACGAAAGUUAGGGGAUCGAAGACGAUCAGAUACCGUGUAGUCUUAACCAUAAACUAUGCCGAACUAGGGAUCGGACGAAGUUAAUUUUAUAAUGACGCG
rnacentral:rRNA from 1 species